rnacentral:rRNA from 1 species
UCGGGAAUUUUGGGCAAUGGGCGAAAGCCUGACCCAGCAACGCCGCGUGAAGGAUGAAGUAUUUCUGUAUGUAAACUUCGAAAGAAUAGGAAGAAUAAAUGACGGUACUAUUUAUAAGGUCCGGCUAACUACGUGCCAGCAGCCGCGGUAAUACGUAGGGACCAAGCGUUGUUCGGAUUUACUGGGCGUAAAGGGCGCGUAGGCGGCAAUUCAAGUCAUCUGUGAAAUCUCCGGGCUUAACUCGGAACGGUCAGAUGAUACUGCUUUGCUAGAGUGCAGAAGGGGCAAUCGGAAUUCUUGGUGUAGCGGUGAAAUGCGUAGAUAUCAAGAGGAACACCUGAGGUGAAGACGGGUUGCUGGGCUGACACUGACGCUGAGGCGCGAAAGCC